rnacentral:rRNA from 1 species
CCUACGGGAGGCAGCAGUGAGGAAUAUUGGUCAAUGGGCGAGAGCCUGAACCAGCCAAGUCGCGUGAAGGAUGAAGGCCCUACGGGUUGUAAACUUCUUUUGUCAGGGAGCAAUUGGGUCCACGCGUGGGCUUAGCGAGAGUACCUGAAGAAAAAGCAUCGGCUAACUCCGUGCCAGCAGCCGCGGUAAUACGGAGGAUGCGAGCGUUAUCCGGAUUUAUUGGGUUUAAAGGGUGCGUAGGCGGAAUAUCAAGUCAGCGGUAAAAAUUCGGGGCUCAACCCCGUCGUGCCGUUGAAACUGAUGUGCUUGAGUGGGAGAGAAGUAGGCGGAAUGCGUGGUGUAGCGGUGAAAUGCAUAGAUAUCACGCAGAACUCCGAUUGCGAAGGCAGCAUACCGGCGCCAAACUGACGCUGAAGCACGAAAGCGUGGGUAUCGAACAGGAUUAGAUACCCGAGUAGUC